UACAGAGGGUGCAAGCGUUGCUCGGAAUUAUUGGGCGUAAAGCGCGUGUAGGCGGCUUUGCAAGUCGGGUGUGAAAGCCCUCAGCUCAACUGAGGAAGUGCGCCCGAAACUGCAGAGCUUGAGUGCCGGAGAGGGUGGCGGAAUUCCCCAAGUAGAGGUGAAAUUCGUAGAUAUGGGGAGGAACACCGGUGGCGAAGGCGGCCACCUGGACGGUAACUGACGCUGAGACGCGAAAGCGUGGGGAGCAAACAGG
rnacentral:rRNA from 1 species